AGACGCGGGCCGGUGGGCUGCCCGCCCGCACCGCCUCGGCGCCUUUGCGUGCGGCCUCCGGGCUUUCGGCCCGUGGUGACCCCGCUUGUGCACCCCUCGGCGAGCAUGAACUGUGGCGCUGCCAGCCCUGAGACGCGGUCGUUCGGCGGUGUCCGUGCGGGCGCGGCCCAAGCGCUGGGGACGAGGAGACGAACAGGGCUGGCCGCCCCAGCCGCAGGGGCGCUCCCGUAGCUGAACGCUGUGCCUCGAGGAAAUACCCAGGAUGGUUCUCCCUCCGAGCCGUCUGAUUUGUGCAAAUACACCUUGGCUGUGGGGCAGAUGUAGGAGCUCUCCAAGCCUCCCAAGCGCUGCGAUUACAUUGCACGCCACCACGCCCAGUCUCAGCCACCUUAUUUUAAAGGUUAAUGUAAAGGACCAGGAGCCAGGAGCCAGGAGCCAGGCUGGCGAAGGAUCGCAGCGAGCUCGAGGGCAGCCUGAAGUACUGGACUACGUAGUGAAUUCGAUGCCCACCUUAAGUACAAAGUGAGACUCGUCUCA